GUUUUGUUCCUGGGUGUGUCUGUGAGGGUGAUUAACACCAAAGGAGAUUAACAUUUGAGUCAGUGGACUAGGAGAGAUACACCCACCCUCGACCUGGGUGGGGAGCAUCUAAUCAGCUGCCAGCAUGGCUAGAAUAAACCAGGCAGAAGAAAGUGAAAUGAGCAGACUCGCUGAGUCUUCCGGCCUUCAUCUUUCUCCUGUGCUGAAGGCUUCCUGCCCUCGAACAUCAGACUCCAAGUUCCUCAGCUUUUGGACUCCUGGAUUGGGGGAAGAAGUGUUGCCAGUGUGAUGCUCUCAGGAACUGCAAGAGAACAGCAAGCAAACAGAAUUCCUGUUAGCCAGUUGUGGAAUCAUUUAAUUGACAACGUCUGCCUUAAGAAGGAGGCAGUUUGUAUCCAGUCUCAGAUGGGAAGUGCACUAUUGUCAACAAUCAAUGUCUACCGUGGGGACCAUCAGUAUCUACCAUGGGGAGGAGAGGUUGAACCGCAGCCUGCAUAAAUUCUGAAUGAGAUUGAGCUGUUUACAUGCUAUAACCAGAAUGAUGAAGAAGUCUGGAGAUGAAGAAAAGAGUGAAAAGGCCUGGAAUGGGCUGAGGAACUCUGGACUGUGAUUUAGGAUGUCUGGGUUCAAUCCUGCUAAACCCUAGCUCACUCUGUGACACUCGGCAAGUUUCCUUUCACUUGGUCUCAGUUUCCUUAUGUGAUGCUAGGCUACCUCAGGGAUUCUCAGUGGGGGAGAAACCAUUUCCCGGGAGGUGAUCUGGAAAGUUAUGGGGGCAUUUUACAGUGUCCCAAUGACUGGAGGUUGUUUCUGGCAUUUACUGGGCAGGGGCAGGGCUGUUAGAUAACCUGUAAUACACAGGACAGUCCCCCACAGUGAAAAACCAUCCCACAUCCUGCACAACUGUCACAUGUCCUCCUGGAUACUCAUGUAGAUGAAAAACUUGUUCAUAAUUGUCUGACUCCAGUCAGAUAAAAACUAGCUCUGCUUUAAAUAGGAACACAAGUUGUUUUUGCACCGUACCAGUGUGUGUUGAACUUUUGAAAAUGGAAUUACCACAUAAAUCAAAAGAAAUCCACAUCUUUUAAAAACAGUUUUAUCGAAGUAUGACUUAUAUGCCAGAAAAUUAAUUCAUUUUUUCAGUGAUAUCAAUUCAGUUUGUGUUUAUUCAAUUCAGUGAUUUUGGUAAAUUUGAUGGAGUUGGGCAUGUAUCAUCAAAAUCCAGCUUCAGAACAGUUCCUUCCUUCCAACAAGUUUCCUUAUACCAGUUUGCUGUCAAUUAUCACUCCCACCCCAAGCCCCAGGCAACCACUGAUUUGCUUACUGUUUCUGUAGAUCUGUCUUUUCUAGAAAUUUUACAUAUAAAGAAUCAUACAAUAUAUAGUCUUUUGUAUUUCUCUCCUUUCACUUAGCAUCCUGUUUUUUAAGAUUCAUCCACAUUGUACCAUGGAUUAUAGUUUGUUUCUUUUUAUUGCUGAAUAAUAUUCCAUAGCAGUAAACCACAUUUUGUUUAUCCAUUUAUCAGCUUGAUGGACAUUUGAAUUGUUGCUAGGUUUUGGCUCUUAGGAAUUUGGCUGCUAUGAAUAUUCCUAUACAAGUCUUUGAGAGGACAUAUAUUUCAUUUCACUUGGGCAUAUACUUAGAAGCAGGAUUGCUGAAUUAUUUAUUUUUUUUUAAGUCAAGAGUUGUUUAAACUCUUUUGGAACUCAUUUUGGAAAAUCAACAUUGCUCAUGGUAUCUGAAUCAGCAAUAUAAUGCUCCUGUAUACAUGUGCAUGGGGAGUGCUACUGGUCACAGUCAUAGACAUAGAAUCACAUAUGCAUCAGUAUAUCAAUGCAUAUUCUAUGCAUAGGUAGAGUAUGUGAUUCUGUGUGUAAGUAUAUCCAUGAUUCUAUGCAUAGGUAAAGCAUGCAGUUCUAUGUGUAAGUAUAUCCAUGAUUCUGUGCAUAGGUAUAGUAUGUGGUUCUAUGUGUAAGUAUAUCCAUGAUUCUACACAUAGGUACAGUAUGUGGUUCUAUAUGUAAGUAUAUCCAUGAUUCUAUGCAUAGGUGUAGCAUGUGGUUCUAUGUGUAAGUAUAUCCAUCAUUUUAUGCACAGGUAUAGCACGUGGUUCUAUGUGUAGGUAUAUCCAUGAUUCUACACAUAGGUAUAGCAUGUGGUUCUAUGUGUAAGUAUAUCCAUGAUUCUAUGCAUAGGUGUAGCAUGUGGUUCUAUGUGUAGGUAUAUCCAUGAUUCUACACAUAGGUAUAGCACGUGGUUCUAUGUGUAGGUAUAUCCAUGAUUCUACGCAUAGGUGUAGCAUGUGGUUCUAUGUGUAAGUAUAUCCAUGAUUCUAUGUGUAGGUGUAGACUUCUGAGUACUUCAUUAUGUCUCUAGUUAGGAUGUAAUCAAACAUUUCUGUAUUUUUUUUUUUUUAAUUUUUUUUUUUAUUGAUCAUUCUUGGGUGUUUCUCGCAGAGGGGGAUUUGGCAGGGUCAUAGGACAACAGUGGAGGGAAGGUCAGCAG
rnacentral:lncRNA from 10 species